AGGGUGUAAACGCUGCGGGCUUGGUGUUGGGGGUCCUUAGUGGGCGCCCAGUGCCGGAGAGAAGUUGUUAAGCCUGCUGCUUGGGGAGUAUGUCCGCAAGGAUGAAACUUAAAGGAAUUGGCGGGGGAGCACCACAACGGGUGGAGCCUGCGGUUUAAUUGGACUCAACGCCGGGAAGCUCACCGGAUAAGACAGCGGAAUGAUUGCCGGGCUGAAGACCCUGCAUGACCAGCUGAGAGGUGGUGCAUGGCGUAGACGUCU
rnacentral:rRNA from 1 species